rnacentral:rRNA from 1 species
AGUGAACGCUGGCGGUAGGCCUAACACAUGCAAGUCGAACGGCAGCACAGUAAGAGCUUGCUCUUACGGGUGGCGAGUGGCGGACGGGUGAGGAAUACAUCGGAAUCUACUUUUUCGUGGGGGAUAACGUAGGGAAACUUACGCUAAUACCGCAUACGACCUACGGGUGAAAGCAGGGGAUCUUCGGACCUUGCGCGAUUGAAUGAGCCGAUGUCGGCUUAGCUAGUUGGCGAGGUAAAGGCCUACCAAGGCAACGAUCCGUGGCUGGUCUGAGAGGAUGAUCAGCCACACUGGAACUGAGACACGGUCCAGACUCCUACGGGAGGCAGCAGUGGGGAAUAUUCGACAAUGGGCGAAAGCCUGACCCAGCAACACCGCGUGAGUGAAGAAGGCCUUCGGGUUGUAAAGCCCUGUUGUUGGGAAAGAACAGCAGCAUGUUAAUACCUGGAUGUUCUGACGGUACCCAAACAAAAAGCACCGGCUAACUUCGUG